GAUGUCUAUUGUAUCAAGCAGUAAUUUGAGAAUAAACAAUUAAUACUUUAUCACUGGUCUCUUUUCCUAUUUAUUUGGAAAUGGAAAAGCUUUCCAGAUAUAUUGCAUAGCAGAAUUGCACAGCAUAAAAUCAUGAUACUGCAGAAAAAAAUAAUAAAAAGCUUUGUGUUAAAGAGGAAUAACGCUGGGGAAAAAAAUAAAACUAAAAAACAAAUAACAUUUAAGCUCAUACUACUCAUGAAAUAGGAAUGUGCUGGCAGCACCAACUAGUUUGUUUGAACUGGGUUAUUUAUUUUGUCAUACACUAUUGGCCAUAUUAUUCUGUAAGAUAAUGGUGAUCCUGGUUUUCACAUCUCUCUUCUUUUUUCCUCCUCUGUAGUGACUGCUCCUCAGCCAGAGGCUGCUACAGCACGGCACAUUGAGGCUGCACCUUCUGUUCGUCAACAUCCUCAUACCCACAGAGCCCAACACGGGGACAGCGAUGCCAUCUGCACCUCCCCAACACUUCACCCCAAUGAGAAAAGGAGGUUGUGCUGCUUUUGCCACUAUGUAAAGGAAACUCUUGGAUCUGAUCCACUGCCUUCAGCCUUCACAAUUCUAAUGGAUCUCUAAUUUCCCAGCAAGAGAAGAAUGAAGCCAUCUGUCAGAUGCCAUUGUUAUUUAGAAGUGGAGGGCUCUUGUGUUAUUUGUUCCAUCCAUCCUUGCUCUGCCAAUCAAGAGCUAACCAUUGUCACCCAGCUCUCCAACACCUUAGUGGACAAACCUUACGCAGAAAGGUCGCCAUGGUGAUGAGCCUGCCUGAGCACAGGAAAAGAAAUGCAAGCCUUGCAGAAGGGCUGGCAAAGCCCAGCACAGCUCUUGCCUGUUCCAGUUACUUGUGAAAGUAAUGGAGAUGGAAAAGUUAUAUAGCAUCAUCUAGUGGACAUGUGUAAAUGUACAGGAACUUGCAAUUCCACUAUCAUUCACUCAAAAUAUCUGGCAUCAGUACUUAACUACAAAGGAAAACGUAAGUUAAAUUCAUUAUUUGCAGCUGUCAACCUGUGGAUUGUAAGAAAAAAAUGUAGAAUUAGGCUAGAAGCUGUGUCAUGCUCACAUUGUUACCAUUCACAGUUGUAGAACAAGGAUAUCAAACACCUUGUUGUAAGGGGGUAUUUUUUGUAUGUUUGUUUGGCAAAUGAGCUUAAGCCAAAGAAUUUUGGUGUGGGGUUCUAGUGUAAGGAUGGUAAAAGCCCAUGAUCAGGGCCUAUAUUUAUUCUAAUGUACUCACUUGGCUUUGACAACAUAAAAUAAUAUAUUAUUGAAUUAUUUGUUUAGAAGUACAGAACCAGGAGAGGAAUGGAAGUUUUCUGGCUCCAAGGCUGAGAUUUUGCAAAUAGAUUAGAAGAAAAAGCCACAUAAAUCCAGGAGAGAGUUGCAGACUUUUUAUAUUCACUGCUCUGCAGCUGUCUUCUGCCUCCUUCUCAAAAGAUCAAAAAAAUCAAAAGAUUUCAAGGUUUCAUGAUUGUUUGCGUUUGACUGUGUGCUAUGUUAGUAUGUCCAUCCAUGUUAGACUGUAGUGAGGUCAAUACCAAGGCAAAAACUAGUGCCCUGGUCUGUCAUUUAAAUCUUGGUAUGGUGUGAGACAUACACCAGGGUGCAGGAUAGUUAGGCUAUUGAGGUCAUGUUGGGUCUGAUGACUCCUUGCCAUCUCUGCCUGGUAUUGUCAUUCCCCAGGAGCCACAGGCUCUGUCGCUGAGGAGAUCAGCAGCUCCCUUCACCACCUGGAUGGCAUGAGGAAUUUGGCUCAUGGCUUCCUGUAUGAUGCUGCCGGAUGGUUUCCCUCAGCCUGGUACUCACUGUGGGUGAGCUCCAUGUGGCUCCUCACAAAGGCCACGGUGCAGGCAGGGAGAGGACAAACUCAGCUGGGACCACAAGUCACAGUGGCAGGAGGAAAGAGAGCUGUAUGGGAGGCUGAAGGAGAGCCAAUUCUUUUCUUUUAACAAAGAUUAUGACAACUAAAUUUGACAAUUAAAUAUGACUCCAGUUGAAUAAGUUCAUGUGUCACAUUUGUUUCAGGAAAUGGCUCUAAGGGGACGCCAAGGAUAUUUUGGAAGCUGGGCAUUUUUCCCUGUGAAGUGAGCAAGUCCACAGACGUUCUAGUUUGAUAGCACUUUCUGGGGACUAAAAUUAAUUCUUUUCAAAUCAAUUUAAAACACAACAUCUGUUCCUCUUGUGUUGCUUAGAAAAUCCAAGGCCCAAUUUGGGGGUCUUGGGCAAAAUAUGGGCCAGUGGAUUAGAAAGUCAUGUCCUACGACAGUUGCCCACGUGUAUUCUGCAGUGUUUUUAUUCAUUUUCAUUAUUGUUCCAAGCAUGGGGACUUCUGUGGCACUUACAUUUAUGUUUCCUGUGUAAUAUAAGCAGAUACUAGCCAGCUACAGUAAAUAUCAUGGCAUUAGUUCUCAAAGGGCGGUAUGUGUAUCAGGUACCUAGCAUAGACAUGAGUAUAUUACCUAUAUUUCACAGGAAUCUUUAAGCACUAGACACUUGCUUUAUGGAAUUGAUAUCAGUGUAUAUGAAAUCAUGGCAUAUGAAGAAUCUCAGAAGCAGAGUUCUUGGGAGCAUCCAGGUAUUGGAGUUUGGGAAGUGAUCUAAAAAGAAAUGAAAGUGAACUUAAGUGAAAAAAAAAGCAUGAAAAGAAUUGAGAAAAGAAAUAAUUAUAAUAUUUUCCAGAAAAAAAUCUGGUUCUAAAAUUGUGUGUUCUCUCAUCUUUCAACUAGGUGAUGUGAUAUCACUCCAUAUACUAUCAUUUCGUCUCAUCUCAGGAUAAUACUAGUACUGUUGUGCAAAUAUCUUUCCAUACCGUAUAAUUUCUCACUUUUAAUAUCUGUCCAUGCAUAUGUUUGCUCCUUACACAUCUUUUCUAGGUAUUAUAAUAACAUGAGCAUGUUUCAGAAAUUACUGAUUUGAUGUAGGAAGUACAUAUUAAAUACACAUCUUAAUUUAAACAGAUUUCAAAUUUGUUUCUAGUGAGUUAUUCACGCUUCUCUGAACAAGUCUAAAAUCUAUUUUUCUUGAAAAUCACCCUUAUUUCCUCUGUCAUUGCAAAUGAAACAGCAGAGCCAAAUUACUGUGUUCUAUACCAACACAGAAUAUCAAUUAGAAACAACAAGAGCGUUAUUCUUUCACAUGAGACAAGUAGAAUUAGGCAAUAAAAUAAGGAUGAUUUAUACAUCAUGUCUGUUAUUUUACUGCAUUUCUUUAGAAUUGUCUUGUAUCAAAAUUUAUUUUUCCUGCUUACACAGUAAAACCUAAAUUAUUUCUUUGAGAAAUGUUUUUGCUAGCUCUACUUUCCUUUCUUGCAAGAAAGCUUCUCCCCUCCCCCUCCAUUUUUUUUUUCCUAAGGAAAAUGGCUGCAGCUGGAAGAAGAUGAAUCACAGUCUUCUGUAAAUUUUCUCUGCAGUCUCUGAGUUUCAAGAGGUGAAAAUAUCUCCUGAUUUAAAUUUCUGAAUUAAUUGUUUACUCCUUCCAACUGGCAAAAAGAUAAAAACCGGCUUUGGUCCAAGUUUCUAAUUGAUUCUGUCAUUUUGCAUACUUCACAUCAGAUAGUCUGGGUGCUAACAUUUAGCUAAAGAUUUACUGCUUUGGAUGUUUGUGCCUUUCUUUUAAUGAAUCUUUGCCAUUAUGCUGAUUUUUUCUAAUUAGUUAUUCCCACUUAUUCUCAUUUUCAUCUAAUUAAAAUGCCAUACUAAAAAUAUAAGUGAGGAUUCAGUUAAUUUGUCUUAUAAAUGGAUGCAUAAUUAAUGAAAGAUUGAAAUAAAGCCAAUUCAGAAUGUAAUUCUGAUACUUUUUCUGCAGUUUGCUUUUUCCCUAGUGAUAUACAAACAAACAGCCAAAAGAUUUCCUUGAGUUUAUAAGCAGAUUUAGCUCUGCAUUUGAGUAACUCUCUCUGGACAACAUAGAUAUAUAUUAUAUUGCCUUUAAAUUCACCCUGAAGUUAGUAGGAAGCUUACUUCAAAAUUUCCUCUUUUCCUGUUUGUUUGUUGUUAUAUGUGUAUGUAUAUAUUUAUGUAUGUAUGUAUGUAUAUUAACAUUGGUCCUGCAAGCAGGCCUUGUAUGUAGGCUUGAUCCCAUAUCGUUAUUUUUACUUUGCUGGAACUAUGCUUUCUUUUAAAAUUAGCAAUUAGAACUCUGGAAACUUUUCGUUUACAUUAUUUUUUGCAAACACUUACCCAGCCAGCUGUUUACCUAGCCAGCCUCAUGGAAAAAUGACAGUUUCAUCAGGAAAAGAUGAACUACAUAUGGCACAUAUCCCACCAUAGCUAUGAAUCUGGUAUAUAUAUUUUUUUUUAGGAUUGAAGUGUUUGGCUUAGAUUGGGAGCGUUAUUCAUUAUAAGUUUAUUUUCACUUAAUUUUAAUUUGUGUAUUUGUGUGUUACUGUGUGAUCAAUUCAGUAGAUAGCUCCUUUAAAAAAAAAAAAAAGUUAUUAUUUUAUUAUGCCAAUACUUCAUCAGCAGAGAUUAUCAGUGCAAUUUAAAGCCUGAAUUGUCAGGAUCUGCAGUACAGGUUAACUCUUCUGUUGAACUAGGAUCAGCAGGUAAGAUGAAAAGACUUUUGCAGAUGGUAGAACAGGAGAAAUAGAUAACAUAAGAAUGAUGUUUUCCAAAGGAGGAUUUAUGGAGGAGCCAUGAUAUGAAGGCACAGCACCUACUGUUUGCUCCACCACACAUACAAUGCAACUUCCCCUGGGAUUCCUGGUACUCUUAGCACAACUUGUAUUGCUGCAUUAGUGGUGGAGUCCACCCAUGUGGCCAUGGGCUUUGGCUGAUAAUCUUUCCUGGCAGCCACACCCAAGAGAAGUGAAGUAGCAAUUUAAAAAUCCUCUUUUUUUUUAGCCUUGUCAUGGGGUUUUGCUGGAGGACACUGAAGCUAGAGAGAUCCUCCUUGCCAAAUAUUAAAAGCGUGUGACAAAAGGAAAUAGAAUAUCUGUUCAAAGCAGUAACUGCAGACUAUAGCAACAGAGAUUGGUGAGACUGGUAAACAGUCUAAAUAUAUUCACUGCUACAGGUUUACCCAAUAAAAUAUAUGAAUAAUAACUUCAACUAAAGUGUGGUCUUCUUUUCCUUGGAAGCACUCAUAACCACUGGUGCUAGUGUAAGUGCCAUGGCAAAGUGUGCCAGGUGACUGCAAGCCUUUUCCCUACUGAUAUUCCAUCUAGAAUAAAACUCAUUCAUCUUCCCCUUAGGAUAUUUG
rnacentral:lncRNA from 1 species